AUGCUGGAGGUCCUGGAGAUGACGCCGCCUCCGCCGCCGCCGCCGCAGCCGCGCCGCCACCAGCAGCCCAGGGGAGGAGGGAGGAAGCAGCCGCUGCAGAGCAGCGUCGCGCAGCCCAAGGCGGAGGCGCCACAGCCGCCGCCGCUCGAGGGAGGUAAGAGGUGCGCCGGGAAGCGGCGCGGCGGGCGCGGGCGCGCCAGGCCCGCGGAGGGGCCGCGGCCGGCGCCAGGGCCUGCGGCGGCGCCCGUGGAGGCGGCCACGCGCGCCGUCAUUGGGCCGCCCGUGCCCAGCAAGGGGCUGUCCUUCUGCCGCCGGCCCGGGUUCGGGACCGUGGGCGCGCGCUGCGUCGUCAAGGCCAACCACUUCCUCGCCGAGAUUCCCGACAAGGACCUCACCCAGUACGACGUCAAGAUCACGCCGGAGGUGACCUCCCGGUGCGUGAACCGGGCCAUCAUCGCCGAGCUGGUGCGCCUCUACCGGGAGUCCGACCUCGGAAUGCGCCUCCCGGCCUACGACGGCCGCAAGAGCCUCUACACCGCGGGCGCCCUCCCGUUCGACGCGCGCGAGUUCGUCGUGCGCCUCACCGACGAAGACAGCGGCACCGGCGUCCCCCCACGCGAGAGGGAGUACAGGGUCGCCAUCAAGUUCGCCGCGCGCGCCGACCUCCACCACCUCCGGCAGUUCAUCGCCGGCCGGCAGGCCGACGCGCCGCAGGAGGCCGUCCAGGUCCUCGACAUCGUCCUCCGGGAGCUCGCCAGCCAGAGGUACGUGGCGAUAGGGCGGUCGUUCUACUCGCCGGACAUAAGGAGGCCGCAGCGGCUCGGCGACGGCCUGCAGUCGUGGUGCGGGUUCUACCAGAGCCUCCGGCCGACACAGAUGGGGCUGUCGCUCAACAUCGACAUGUCGUCCACCGCGUUCAUCGAGGCGCUGCCGGUGAUCGACUUCGUGGCCCAGAUACUAGGGAAGGAUGUCAUGUCAAGGCCAUUGUCGGAUGCAAACAGAAUUAAGAUCAAGAAAGCGUUGCGGGGCGUCAAAGUCGAAGUUACUCACCGGGAAAAUGUAAGGCGGAAGUACCGCAUUUCGGGGGUGACAGCACAACCAACUCAUGAACUCAUCUUCCCAAUCGACGAUCAAAUGAAUAUGAAGUCUGUCGUAGAGUAUUUCAAGGAAAUGUAUGGGUUUACUAUUCAGCAAUCACAUCUUCCUUGCCUUAUGGUUGGCAACCAAAAGAAGGCAAACUAUCUACCAAUGGAGGCCUGCAAGAUUGUUGAGGGUCAGAGAUACACAAAGAGGUUGAACGAAAAGCAGAUCACAUCACUGCUAAAGGUUACAUGCCAAAGGCCUAGAGAAAAGGAAAUGGAUAUUCUACAGACAGUUCAUCAAAACGGAUAUGACCAAGAUCCUUACGCAAAGGAAUUUGGGAUCAACAUAAGUGAGAAGCUAACAUCCGUUGAAGCGCGCGUCCUUCCUGCACCUUGGCUGAAAUAUCAUGAUGCUGGAAAGGAAAAGGAGUGCCUGCCACAGGUUGGUCAAUGGAACAUGGUGAACAAGAAAGUGAUCAACGGGGGCAAGGUAAGCCACUGGGCUUGUAUAAACUUCUCGAGGAGUGUUCAAGAAACAACUGCACGCGGAUUCUGCCAAGAGUUGGCACAAAUGUGUCAAAUUUCGGGCAUGGAAUUCAACAGUGAACCUGUGCUUCCAAUAUAUUCAGCUAGACCAGAUCAAGUAGCGAAGGCACUAAAGCAUGUGUAUAAUGUAGCACUACACAAACUCAAGGGUAAAGAACUUGAGCUUCUUUUGGCCAUCCUACCAGACAAUAAUGGAGCUUUAUAUGGUGACAUCAAACGUAUCUGUGAAACCGAUUUGGGAUUAAUAUCUCAAUGUUGCUUAACGAAACAUGUUUUUAAGAUCAGCAAGCAGUAUUUGGCAAAUGUCUCGCUUAAAAUCAAUGUUAAGAUGGGAGGAAGGAACACCGUGCUCGUGGAUGCGCUAAGUUGGAGGAUUCCGUUGGUCAGUGACAUACCAACUAUUAUAUUUGGCGCAGAUGUAACUCAUCCUGAAACCGGGGAGGACUCUAGUCCAUCCAUUGCCGCAGUUGUGGCUUCUCAAGACUGGCCGGAAGUUACAAAAUAUGCUGGAUUGGUGUGUGCACAGGCACACCGACAAGAGCUCAUUCAGGACCUUUACAAGACAUGGCAUGACCCUCAGAGAGGCACAGUAACAGGAGGCAUGGUCAGGGAACUCUUAAUAUCCUUCAGGAAGGCCACGGGACAGAAACCACAGAGAAUAAUUUUCUAUCGGGAUGGCGUUAGUGAAGGCCAGUUCUACCAAGUUCUCCUUUAUGAGUUGGAUGCUAUCCGUAAGGCUUGUGCAUCCCUAGAACCAAAUUACCAACCUCCUGUAACGUUUGUGGUGGUUCAAAAGCGUCACCAUACAAGACUGUUUGCAAACAAUCACAAAGACAGAAGUAGUAUGGACAAAAGUGGAAAUAUUUUGCCUGGAACUGUUGUUGAUUCGAAGAUAUGCCACCCAACGGAGUUUGAUUUCUACCUCUGUAGUCACGCUGGAAUCCAGGGAACAAGUAGGCCAGCUCACUACCAUGUCCUCUGGGAUGAGAACAACUUCUCAGCAGACGAAAUGCAGACGUUGACAAACAACCUUUGCUACACUUACGCACGGUGCACGCGCUCUGUUUCCGUCGUCCCACCUGCAUAUUACGCGCAUCUGGCCGCGUUCCGGGCGCGGUUCUACAUGGAGCCGGAGCUGUCGGAGAACCACACGUCGAAGAGCUCCAGUGGCACGAAUGGUACCUCCGUGAAGCCUUUGCCCGCUGUGAAAGAGAAGGUGAAGAGGGUGAUGUUCUACUGUUGA
rnacentral:rRNA from 1 species